GGCAUUGUGGCCGAGUGGUUAAGGCGAUGCACUCGAAUAAUGCAUUGGGAUUUCCCGCGCAGGUUCGAAUCCUGCUGAUGUCG